UACGGAGGGGGCUAGUGUUGUUCGGAAUUACUGGGCGUAAAGCGCACGCAGGCGGCUGCGUAAGUCUGACGUGAAAUCUCCCGGCUUAACCGGGAGCGGUCGUUGGAAACUAUGCGGCUUGAGGCGAUGAGAGGGGUGUGGAAUUCCCGGUGUAGUGGUGGAAUGCGUAGAUAUCGGGAGGAACAUCAGUGGCGAAAGCGGCACCCUGGCAUUAGCCUGACGCUCAGGUGCGAAAGGCGUGGGGAGCGAACGGG
rnacentral:rRNA from 1 species